UUGUGCCGUUGGUUCCGAGGCGUUCCCUUGGCCCUUGGGUUGCCGGCGGUUUGGGGGCCGUGGACGCUUUUCCCUCCCGCUCAAGGUCCCAGGUCGCGCGGCGCGUCGUUGUAACCCCCAGGUAGAGGAAGCUGUGACCAAAACCCAGGAAGAACUACAGAGGCUGGCCUACUGAGACCGAAUCCGUACCCUGGAACGUUAUCGUGCCGACGUGGACGCGCCUUCCGCUGGGCAGGGACCCCCUGUCCGUGCUUCCCUUCCGAGGGCGCCCCCACUGACCAAGCUCCGCUCGGCGUCCCCCGAAUCCCUCUUUCAGCCAUACCCGACUUUGGGACUUCCGUGUUCCGUUCUGCAUCGUCCCAUUUUAGCAAGAACCCCCCACCCUCUGUGUGUGCUCAUCCUUGACUUAUGCGCGAAUUCCUGUAUCCUCCCCCGCACCCUCCAGUUGCUGUCUGAGCACCCUGGCUUGCCUUCAGCAAGAAUCCUGUUAGGUCAGUUUAGACAGAACCCCCCCCCCCGAUGUUUACUCUUAAUAAUUUUCUAUUCAGAGACCCCCGCCCUGCUCCUUGGCUAUGAAUUCCCACUUGCCUGUGGUGUAUUCAGAGUUGAGCCCAAUUUCUUGUCCUCGCCGCAGAUUUCCACCAUCAGUGGUCCCUCUACCUACGGUGAUAGCUCCCCUACCUUGAAUAAAAUCUUCUUACCAUGCUUUGACAAA